AUACGGAGGAUCCGAGCGUUAUCCGGAUUUAUUGGGUUUAAAGGGUGCGCAGGCGGCCAUUUAAGUCAGCGGUUAAAUCGUGGGGCUCAACCCCAUUCUGCCGUUGAUACUGGGUGGCUUGAUUGCGGUCGAGGUUGGCGGAAUUCGUUGUGUAGCGGGGAAAUGCAUAGAUAUGACGAAGAACACCGAUUGCGUAGGCAGCUGACCAGACCGUAAAUGACGCUCAUGCACGAAAGUGCGGGGAUCGAACAGGAUUAGAUACCCUGGUAGUCCGCACAGUAAACGAUGAAUACUCGCUGUUUGCGAUACACUGUAAGCGGCCAAGCGAAAGCGUUAAGUAUUCCACCUGGGGAGUACGCCGGCAACGGUGAAACUCAAAGGAAUUGACGGGG
rnacentral:rRNA from 1 species